ACCUCGGACGCGAAGGAGGUCGACGUCCAGGCCGCGUACGAAACCUCGAUGUCCAGCCUGCUCGUGGCCAUGUCGGGAGCGAAUUACAUCCACGACAUCG
rfam:Kiritimatiella glycovorans strain L21-Fru-AB chromosome, complete genome.